AAACAGCCCCCUAUGUUUUGAUUCUUUGGUAGUUUUGGACCCCCAGUCCAUUGUUGACUCGGUCAACGCUGACGUGACACCCUAAGUGAGGUGCCACAUGUCAAUUUUAUUUUUAUUUUUUUGCCUUGGGGGUCCAAAACUGCUAAAGAAUCAAAACAUAGGGGGCUGUUU
rnacentral:pre_miRNA from 1 species